rnacentral:rRNA from 1 species
GAUGAACGCUGGCGGCGUGCUUAACACAUGCAAGUCGAACGAAGCACUUUAUUUGAUUUCCUUCGGGACUGAUUAUUUUGUGACUGAGUGGCGGACGGGUGAGUAACGCGUGGGUAACCUGCCUUGUACAGGGGGAUAACAGUUGGAAACGGCUGCUAAUACCGCAUAAGCGCACAGCAUCGCAUGAUGCAGUGUGAAAAACUCCGGUGGUAUAAGAUGGACCCGCGUUGGAUUAGCUAGUUGGUGAGGUAACGGCCCACCAAGGCGACGAUCCAUAGCCGACCUGAGAGGGUGACCGGCCACAUUGGGACUGAGACACGGCCCAAACUCCUACGGGAGGCAGCAGUGGGGAAUAUUGCACAAUGGGCGAAAGCCUGAUGCAGCGACGCCGCGUGAGCGAAGAAGUAUUUCGGUAUGUAAAGCUCUAUCAGCAGGGAAGAUAAUGACGGUACCUGACUAAGAAGCACGGGCUAAAUACGUG